rnacentral:rRNA from 1 species
AUGCACUGGCAUGCAUGGGUUCAUCUUAUCAGGCCUAAGGCACAAGGCGGGUUGGGGUUCAGGGACCUUUGGCUGUUCAACCAGGCCCUACUUGCUCGCCAAGCAUGGCGACUCUUGACAAACCCAGACAGCCUUUGCGCGCUUGUCCUGAAGGCGAGGUACUAUCCUAACGGAAAUUUAGAUGACAAUGUUGUUUCAGGAGGUGCGUCGGUGACAUGGCAGGCUGUGCAACACGGCCUG